UACAGAGGUCUCAAGCGUUGUUCGGAUUCAUUGGGCGUAAAGGGUGUGUAGGUGGCGCGCUAAGUCGGGUGUGAAAUUUCGGAGCUUAACUCCGAAACUGCAUUCGAUACUGGCGUGCUUGAGGACUGGAGAGGAGACUGGAAUUUACGGUGUAGCAGUGAAAUGCGCAGAUAUCAGGAAGAACACCUAUGGCGAAGGCAGCUCUCUGGGACGGUACUGACGCUGAGACGCGAAAGCGUGGGGAGCGAACAGG
rnacentral:rRNA from 1 species